UUUUAGGGAUAAAAAAAUAAAAAAUAAAAAAUAAGCAUUAUCUUAUGGCAUAUGUAAAUUUUUAUUCUAAUAUAACUUUAUUAAGAUAUUAUUAUAGUUUUGUUGCACUUUAUCCACUUGGAUGUGUUUAUAAAUAGAUUCAGUUUCUCUUGGUUUAAUCAUAGCUGUCUAAGUUCUUUCUACUUCCUUGGUGUUGUUAAUUUAAAAAGUUUGUUAGUGUUUUAGCAAUUGUUAGUUUACCAAUUCUCUUUGUCCCUUAACUUAGAUGAGAACAUACAUACCA
rnacentral:lncRNA from 1 species